AGUAGCCCUUGACUCAUACUUUACAUUUCACAUAUACUCUUCCUAUUUGGGAAUUUUUUCAUCAAUAGACCAAAAUUUCGACCAAACCAUAUCUCAGCAUAAUAUAAAACAAAUUUCCUGGCGUGGUACAGAUUCUAAGAAGUAUGUGAGAGGCCUUCGCACCGCUUUAUCGUUAAGAAUUGCAUUUAAACAUUAGUUUGCCCCAUAGGACAACGACUUCGACCGCACAACCCAGAAGUUCUUUCAAUACGCGCAGGAGAGAAAGACGAGAACAAAGAAAUGUGACGAAAAAAAAAUAGAUUAUGGAUCAAAUGGGAAGGGAACAAAAAAUAACUCGCAAAACUAUUUCUUGCGAGCCUUUUGCGAUAUCUUUUCUGAUUCAUUUUUGAUAUUACAGAAGUCUCGCAAAAGAUAUCAGAAACGACUCACUAGAAAUAUCAAAAAAGUCUCACAAAAGAUAUCGCAAACGAUACGUUUGCGAGCUAUAAUAUAUGUGAAAAUCAUUGCCACAACUGAACGACACAAGUAUCAUAUUUCUAUCAUAUACGAGUCCAAAUGCAAGCGUUUUGUCGGGUUAAGUCUCACAUUUGACUCGUAUGUGAUAUCAUUUGCGAGCGUUUAGUUUGCUGGGCUCUCACAUACUGUGCUUGUGUGUGGGUUCU